rnacentral:rRNA from 1 species
AUUCCUACGGGGGGCAGCAGUCGAGAAUCAUUCACAAUGGGGGAAACCCUGAUGGUGCGACGCCGCGUGGGGGAAUGAAGGUCUUCGGAUUGUAAACCCCUGUCAUGUGGGAGCAAAUUAAAAAGAUAGUACCACAAGAGGAAGAGACGGCUAACUCUGUGCCAGCAGCGGCGGUAAUACAGAGGUCUCAAGCGUUGUUCGGAAUCACUGGGCGUAAAGCGGGCGUAGGAUGUUUCGUAGGUGGUGUGUGAAAGGCGCGGGCUCAACCCGCGGAGGGCGAAGGAUA